rnacentral:rRNA from 1 species
AUGGGAGGAUUGGGAGUGAUUGAUCUUCAUCGUCACGGUAUUGCCCUUAGGAUGAGGUGGGAGUGGCUGAAGAGAUCUGAUGACAACAGACCGUGGCAAGGCCUCAAUUCUCUCGUGGACAAGGAUGUAAGCUCGGCCUUCUCGAGUCUGGUCCAUUGGCAGGUAGGAGACGGCACCAAGGCUCUCUUCUGGAAGGAUAGAUGGGUGAGGGGAUCGACAGUGAAGGAGCUGGCACCCAUGUUGGUGGCCAAGGUUAAAACUCAGGUUAUCAACAGACGGUCGGUCAAGGAUGGAUUGUAUUACAGGCCUGGAUGA